rnacentral:lncRNA from 1 species
CCUCUCUCUUCCGACUCCCGUCUCUCCCUCCGCUCCCCCUCGGCCCCUCCUUCCACACUGCGCUGCCUCCUCUCUUCGGAGAGCUUCCCGGCACCUUCCGCGACGAGUUUGGAGCCGCCCCACAGCAGAGCCCACGGCCGUCCGAGCGCGAGCGACGCAGGUGUCCGAGCCCCCGAGCCGCCGUCAUCUUCGCCUCCGCCUGGGUGGGACCUGGGCCUCGAGGUCUCCUCGCUACUUUGGAAACUGAAGGGACUGCGACGGAAACCAUGCCAUCAAUUAUUCAGGCAUUUGUCUUCCAUCAUAGUCUCUGGUGAAGUAAACGAUCAUCGCCUUUGAAAGAGAUACCCAAAGAGUUAAGGAAAUUGGUUGUUGAAUGAACAGAGAGUCGUCGAACUCAAAUAUCCUGGCUUCUAGUCUCUUGG